ACCUAUUGACAUCCAUUGCAGACAUUUCUUUUCCUUUUGUUUGAAAGUCACUUUUUUUUCAAAAAAAGAAAGUCACUUUUUCAUUUUCUUGAGAAACAAGAUUUUCAGCUUGCUUCUGUUCUCACUUUUGCCGGUCAUUCCUAAAAGCUAAAUCUUUCACUGUUGUUUCUUUAUUGUUAGCAUUUUUUUGAGUAGUGGUUAAGAUGGAUACGUAAGGUCUCACCAUUUAGAUCUGGACUACUUCAAUAUCAAGUUUUAGAUAAAGAACAUCACAAAGUAAUCUGAGGUACUAUUUUCUGGGGCUGCAAAGGUUGAAGUAUUUGAAUUGAAUUUUAUUAUUAGCUUUCACCUCUUUUGGUGCAACAGUGUAGUGAUUUGUUAUUAUUUCUAUAUUGUUGUACUCAGCAUUCCACUUUAUUUUGCUCUUCUUCUAAUAGCUGUUAAAAGACUGCAGAGAAAAGCAGUGCCAGUAAAACCCAAGUGCAAAAAUCUAUCCCUCUAAACUCAGCAGCUAGAACUAGUUGUGUUUGUGACAAAGGGACCUCCUCUCCUCUCUUGUGAUAGCAAUGAAUCUUGGCAUGUUACUCGUUGGAAUUUGAUUAGAGAAUUUGAGAAGCUGACACUGUGUUUUUCAGAGGCUACUCAGCAUCAAUCCAGCGGGGUCAAUGCAAUUCAGGUGGCAGCUGUUACUAUGAAACUGAAUCAAUAACGAAUGAGCAGUACCAUCAUGGUUUCCUAUUAAGUCAAUGGACAAACUAAUACUCCACCUGUAACAGAUGUACUGCACCAUUUACCAGAUCUUGUGAGCUUGUGUAUUAGUAGUCAAGUCAUUGGUAGAUCAAUGUAUACUCCAAUCCCCUCUAAUCAUUCCUCUCAAUCGUCAGCAAUGAUGAAGGAAGAUACUCCUAUACUGUCUAAAUGUGUCUCGCAAAAUUGAACAUAAAUACUGAACAAAUUGCAGGAUC